UCUAAGCUAUUGUUCCUUCCAAGGGUGAGAAGAGACUCCCUUAAAAUAUGGAUAGAAAAAUUGAGAUAAAAAAAUUUGAAGACAACGAAUAAAUGUAAAGCCGCCUUUUCUAAGCGAUGUAGUAGUUUAUUAAGGAAGGCAGAAGAGAUUGCAAUUUGUUGUGAUGUGCAUGUCUUGUUUGUUGCGUUCUCACCCUCUAAUCGACUCAACAAAUUCUGUAGCCAAAAAAGAAUUGAAGACAUGCUUGAACGCUAUAUUAAGCUUCCGGUUGAGAGGAGAUUGACUCACAUGGGCGAUGUUAAGG